ACUUAUUGUAUUGGAUGAACUGUAAAGGAUCGGUCAUAUUUAAUUUUGAUUUAUCAACAUCCAUCUCAUCCUCCUUGUCUAUGCAAUGCACAGGUUAUGUGCUUGGAUCUAGUGAAUACAACCAUUGUAGAUGUCACUACUGUCUUGCAAAAUCAAUAUCUUUAGUCUAUGAGGCUAAUGAAAAUUAUAUUACAAGUAUUCAAACAGCACAUGAAAGUUAGUUAGAUGGAAAGUAUCUUCCUAUUUUUUCGCAUAAGUCCUAAGAGCAAUAGAGUAUCUUGCGUCUCCUGAAUCCAAUGGGGUAUAAUUUUUGUCUCUAUCACACUAAAAGUGCAUUCCAUAUAUAUUUAUUUAGUUAUGCUAACAAUUGGCACCUUGUUCUCUAAAUUUUCAUCAAUAUUCUACAUUUACGGUUCACUUACGUUCUCUCAAUUAACACUACAUAUAAACUAGCAUACAUCCUGGCACCUUCUCAACAUUAGCAGUCUGUUUGUUUUUAACCUGAUUUGAGAGAUACAAGCCUCAAGCCACAUGAUGAUAUAAUCCCCUUGGAACCAAGGUUUUUUUAAAAAAAACUCCAGUUAAGAUUUUGGUUCCGUUCAGCCUUGCCAAGUUUCAGUUUCUGCAAUGGGAACAGCUAUUGCUAAAGCAGGUUUUGCUCCUUCAAGAGCACCUGAAAUUAAUUCAUUUUAUAACAAUUCCUGUACCCUUCUAUCGAAAAACUAGUUGAAAGCAUUUUCCAAUGUUCCUAAAUACCCUUCUUCCCUCCAGCCACCUCUCCCCUCAUCCAUUAUGUAGUACAGAUUCCAAAGAGAGUGACCAGUCACGCCAUUCUUCUCCCUCCCUCUCCCUCUCUUUCUCCAACUAGUGAAAGAACCCCUGAAUCUCUCUUUUCUCAUUUACUUCUUCCUACUCUAUUGAUUUCUUGAUUUAUUUUGACAAAAAUCUUGCAUCAAAAUUGAACUAUCAGGUAUGAUUUUUCGAAAUUUUUCUCUUGUCUUCUAGUGUCUUUUUCUAAGGUUUUGUGGAACAAUUUUUCAUGUUUUUCCACUCUCCUCUUCCCCUCCUUUGACAAGGUGUUGUGCCAGGCAAAAUUUUCUGUGAUACAUAAGGUAAAAUAUAAAUUCUUUCAGCUUGUAGUUUUAGCUAUCCAAAAAAUCUAGACGCGUUAGUUUAUAUUUUUAUUUUCUUUGACAGAUUUCUAUGGUACUCUUUUGUCGUGAGAAAUACAACUGAAAGUUUAUCCUUCUAGAUAUGAUUUUGACUACUAGAAGUAGAAGUACUGUAAUUUCUCUUACUAUUUUAUUGGUUGUUCAUGAAAGAUGAUCAAACUUAAGCACAACUAAAAUUUUCAGCUCAGUGACUGGCUUUAAACUAGAAAAAAAAAACUUGUUGUAGUAAAUUGCAGGUUGGAAAAAUAUUUAUGUUUAAUUCAGAGUAGUAUGUUAAUAUUAUGAACCUUGAACCCUGCUAUCUUGAUCAUGGCGCAAUAUUUUCCGUGAUACAUAAUGUAAAAUUGAAAUUCUUUCAGCUUGUAGUUUUUAGCUAUGCAAAAAAUCUAGAUGCCUUAGUUUUUAUUUUUAUUUGCUGACAGAAUUUCAUGGGACUCUUUUGAGUUUGUUUUCAAAAAUACAAUUGAAAGAGCAUCUUUUUUUAUAUGAUUUUGAACACAGGAUAGUGUACAUUCUUUUACUAUUUUAUUCAUUGUUCAUGAAAGAUGAUCAAAUUCAAGCACAACUCAAAUGUUCAGCUUAGAGAGAUACCUUUAAACUAGUAAGGCUUGCUACAACUAAUUGCAGAUUAAAUAGAUACGAACGCUUAAUCCAAAGUUGUAUGUUAACAUUAUGAACCUUGAACUCUGUUAUAUUGAUCAUGGCCAUUUGAUGACGGACAGGUGUACAGUACUUGUUUGAAAUGAAAACCUAUAUUUUAGCAAAAGAAUGAAUUAACGAUAGCCAUAAAAAAUUGUUUUAAUUGUCAUAAAAGGCUGAAAAUAUAAAGAAUUAUUUAAUGGAAAUUACCUUCCCCUUAUAAUAAAAAAUUUGGUAGGACUUGGUCAUUCAGCAAGGUAUGUUAAGCCAAUGUUUUCUACAAUUUACUAACAUAAAUCUUAUUAGUAAGAAGCUAUAAGUAUAUUUUGUUUGCCCUGAUUCAUAUUUCUUUUUAGUUCUAAUUCAUUCUCAAUAUCUUUUCUCUUUGCAGGUUAGAGUUUAUGUCGAUAUUGCAUUUCCCCAAAAUAACUCUUUUUGUAAGUGUUGCUGCAUAAAUUUAAUUUGAGUUCCUACGUAUCUCUUUUAUUUUUAUAAUAUCCAUCUAAUUGUUAAUACAAAAGGUAUAUGAUUGAUAUUCAGAUGCAAUAUCACAAACCGAAGGCUAGCUUAAUGACUCUUAGACUACAGGAGGAUAAAGACUAUGGCAAGUAGACCAACGUAGCCCUGAUGACUCUCUUUUGUGCUUUGUUGUUAUAAUUAUCUUUUUGUUGGAGUUGUUAUGUAGACUACUCUUUCUAGCUCCUUUUUUUGGUUGUUACUAAGUUCAUGUUAAGCAAGUUGUCAUAGACAAAUUAUAAUUGUGCUCAGUGAUUGUGGCACAGCUCAUGGGUUGGAACAUGCCAAGUAAUUUUGCUGUAAACUGUGCUAUGAACUUGGGUGGUUUCUGUACCUAGCGCUUGCAGCAGGGAAAUGUUUUUAUGUUUCACGUUACAUAAAUAUAAUAGAUUGGAUGAUAGUAGAAAAUGGUAUAUAUUCUAACAUUCAGUUUUUCUGAUAAUCCAUAUGGUUUCUCAGCUUUAUUAACAAAGAUGAAUGAAAAGAUGGACACAGUUCAAUUUGUUUGGAGGUCUAUAUAGAAUUGAAGCUUUGUGUAUUUAUCAUAUCAAGAAGUACGGAACUAAAACUUUUUUAAAUUUAUGGCCUGCUAUGGCAUGUCCAUGACUUCUACUUGAAAAUUUCAUUCACAUCCUUUUUUUCUCCUUUCCUAUUCAAUACUUCUAUUAUAUGUUCUUUUCAAAUGCCUCUUCAAAUAUGUCCAUGUGUACUUGUGCAAAUAAUCAGGUUUUUUUUCCUAUAGAUUUAGAAUUGUACUUUAUAUUUGUUCCAACCAUUCAAAAACCAAUCUCGUGAACCAAGAAAAAACAAAACCAAUCAACCAUAUUAGCACCGAAAAUCCUCAUAUGACAGCCAAUAAAUGUAAAAAUAACAUCACAAUGAUAAUGACAAUAUUGUGAAUAAGAAUGACACGUAUAAUCAAUUUCGGCCUUAACUGGCAGAAACCACCUCAGUCAGUUUCAAAUCGUUUCAGGCUGAAACUGAUCUAUUUUACCCAAAAUGGAUCAGUUUUGACUGAAACUUAAGUCCUUGAUUGCAGUUAUAAUCUCAUCUAACCACAGAUACUUACCACAUGUAAUUUCCUAAGUAUAUUGCUAACCAUUCAAUAUGCCUUUGAUGUACUUUCUUGAUACUCACCACAUAACCUGUAGUGUAACUAUAUCAUAUGUUUUCUCCGAGUAAACCCAAAAAAGGGAGAGGAGGAAUAGAUUUUGCUUGCAUUCUGUAAUUUUCAUUAGAUAACUAGUCAAAGAAAUAAUCUUGAUGAUUAGUCUUUCUAGUUUUCAUAAUAUGUACUAAAAUAUUUCUCCAAUUAGUAAGCAUUUCCUGACUUUCAAGAUUGCAUGAAUACAACUAAUUAGCAAACUCAAUCCAACUUGUCAUAAUAUGUUGACAUAAUGAUGUUGUCUACAGAAAAAAUAAGUUCCAAGCACUACUAAUUUGGCAUUUAGCAUUACCUUGAUGAUUGUUGUUCAUAUCAAUUAUAUGAUCCUUCAAGGCCUUUCUUCGCUUAAUACAAUUCAUCCAAUGUCUUGGCAUGUUGUGUGUUGCUUGGCUUUUUCUUCUUGUAGAGUCCUUUUCCAAUAAUGUUCGCAAACCUUUUUUAAGACAUUUGCUUUAGAAGUCACACAAGCACUUUUGUUAGGUAAUGCCAGGCAUGCUCUUAUAUAACAGCAAUAAGCACAGAUCAAAGCAUUACACCUUCAGGCAGUUUAAUCAAUUUCCCUAAUAUCUACAUACAACUUCCUAGCAGCAUCAGACCACAAAUUCUAUGAUUUUUUUCUUAUAAAGAGUAUUCCUACAAUAUGCAUUUGCCAAUAGCAAGAAAGACAAUCUACAUGGUCUAAAGCAUUUGCAAGAUGGAGGAAGAGAGAAGCUCUAUUUUCUUUUCCAGAUGAAAAUAGAAUGUCUUGUCUUCUCAUUGCUUCAACUCAAUGUCAUUCAAGAUAUGCACUAAUUAAACUGAAAAGGGAGAAAUGUUACCUUUCCUUCUUCCUAGUCAUCAGAAACUUACUGAUAUAGGACAGCAUAAUCACGGACACCACUACCUAGCGCAAUGUCACACAACCCCCAUGUCUUAGUAGCUAAAAUAUUCCACCUUGGGUGAUGCGCCCACUUCAGAAUCUUUGUGGAAUCUCAAAUCAGCACCCACUUCCUAAGUGCUCUCUUACUUCAGAUGUUUUUAAAAUAUCUGCUUCCCUGCCUUCACCCAUAUCUACUCCCAAUUCUAGUAAUCAAGCCUUAUACAGCUACCUCUUUAAUAUCUCUUUUUUCUUUUGAGAAAAAAAGAUCACACUAUGAUAUUUAAAGCCAUUUCAUUUAGUCUUCAACUGCAUAUACAUGCUUCACCUUGUUAAACAUGCCCAAAACUAAAAUCCUAGGCAAAAAAGGAUUUCAGCAAGUAUUACAAAAACAUGUUUAAUUAUGAUAGUUUACAUGAUUGCUCCCUGUUACUCAAUUUAUAGUGUCUUCAAAGCAAGCAACUCAUAAGUUGCAUAUUACUCUCUAGGAAAAGACCUAGAACCAGUACUGAAUACUUAAAUUACACUGCAUUCGCUUGUUUAUAGCAAAGAAGAAGAAGAAGAAAGUCUGCCUUCUUCUUCUUCUUCUUCUUUAAAGAUCAUCUCCACCCCAACCCUUGUCACAUUGGACCUGCUUUGACACUGAGAAAAAGAUAAUAAGCUUUUUUUUCCCUUUUGUUUCUUCUUUUUAUGGUGUUGGUGGUUUUAGGGUGGUAUACAAGUGUGUUUAAGAAUUUAAAUACAAAUUAAGAAUUUAUCCUUGUUCCAUACUUAAAUGAAAUCAAUGAGCAACAUAUCUAAAGACCCUAUAAACAAUCAAUGUCAUAUGCCCAACAUAAACUAUAUAACCUAAAAAUCCAAGUAAAACUUGCAUAGUUCUUUCUGGAGAUGGCUUCCACUUCUCCGCAUGAGAAUUCAACACCUUAGCAUGUAACACACAAUGAAUAGGUGCAUCUUCACUUGAAGUAACAAGACUUCUCCACCCAUCACCUCGAUCAUUUAUUUUCUCCCACCUUCAAGAACAUUCACCAUGAGCUCUCUUUGAGGAAAGAAAACCAGCUUCUAUUCAUCUUUUCUAGUGCACGUCCUUAUCUUCUCUCUUCACUUCAAAGAUCCCUCCAAAACUCCCCUUCUCUAUGAACUUCAUUGUCUCUUCCUCAGUCCAUCUACUUAAUUUCUUUCAUCACUUUUAAUCUAUAUAUGAAUGGUACUUUUCUUGAGUCUAUGAAAAUCAGCUGCUCUAUUUAACAACAAGAAUUUAUGUCUACAAACUUCAUAUAUUACAUGCAUAUCAUCCGAAACCUUCCUGCUUCCCAUAAUUUUUCAUCUAUGAGGGAAGAAUUCAACACCAAUCAAGAUCCCUUCAAACUCCAUUAACAUCAUUUCACACUUGGAAAUCUACAAACUUCUCACGAAAGGGUACCUCAUUGGAAAGUAUUCACGCAAUUGUACCUGGAUACACCAAAUUUUGGAUUGUGUGGAUACUUGGGACACUUUAUGACACUCCUUGACACUUCAUAUCAUCAAAUCAACUUGUUAACUCCAACAUGAUAUUUAUCAAAGGUUUUUUCAGAUUCACAAAACUUUUCGACUGGUUAAUCCAACUAAUUAUUCAUCAUGUGCAUAAAUCUGUACAUAUUUGUACACACAUCUACAUCAUACAGAAGCAACGACAUGUUGGAUUUCUUUAAGGUUUCCAUGUCAGAUUCAAGAGUACCAUGCCCUGUGGUUAUGAAGCCAUCAUCCCAAACCUUGCAAGUUAAGAUGUAAUUGCAAGACAUUAACAAGUAAAACAAUAUCAAGUUUAUCAAGAAACAUUCCCUCAUAGCAAUUAUCCCAACCUUUCUUUUCCCUUUCUUCUCUAAAUCUGGAAAGGAUAUUUAAUUAAUUACCACUAAAUUUGCCUUCUUUUGUACCUUUCUUUUGCUUUCUAACAAAAGGAAGAAAAAAGAACAAACAAAGAAAAGAAAGAUCAAACGAGGAUGUUCAACAACUGCUUCAAUGAAAGCAAGAGAGAUUAAGAGGCUACACUAGAAGGAGAAGCAAUUGGUACCUUAAAUUUGGCAUGUUUGAGUAUGGGAACAUCGCCGGUCGCCCUCAGGUGAACUACAACUGCACGCAAUAGGAGAAGGUCAGCACUCAGCAAUGAACAGAUAGAUAGAUAGAGAGAGAGAGAGAGAGAGAG
rnacentral:lncRNA from 1 species